rnacentral:tRNA from 2 species
GAGUCUGUAGCGCAGCUAGGAUAGCGCGGCAGCCUUCUACGUUGCAGGUCGAGGGUUCAAAUCCCUCCAGACUCGCCA